rnacentral:pre_miRNA from 1 species
AGUGGGAUAGCUGGGUCAAAUUGUGGUUCUGGUCCAAGUUUUCUAAGGAAUCUCCAUAUUGCUUUCCAUAUUGGCUGCACCAAUUUGCAGUCCCACGGGCAAU